rnacentral:rRNA from 1 species
GAUGAACGCUGGCGGCGUGCUUAAUACAUGCAAGUCGAACGGAGAAUUAGCAAUAAUUCUUAGUGGCGAACGGGUGAGUAACGCGUUGGUGACCUGCCCCUGAAUCUGGAAUAACUUCGCGAAAGCGAGGCUAAUACCGGAUAUUGUCCCAGGGACCGUGGUCCUUGUGAUGAAAGGUGACCUCUUCAAGAAAGUUGUCGUUCAGGGAGGGGCCCGCGUACCAUUAGCUAGUUGGUAGGGUAAUGGCCUACCAAGGCGAUGAUGGUUAGCUGGUCUGAGAGGAUGACCAGCCACACUGGCACUGAAACACGGGCCAGACUCCUACGGGAGGCAG